rnacentral:RNase_P_RNA from 1 species
UGAGCAGGAUGGAUGAUCGCUGCCGUGCAAACGAAAGGGCACGGGAGAGGAAAGUCCGGGCUUCACAGGGCAGGAUGCCAGAUAACGUCUGGUGGAGGCAACUCCCAGGAUAGUGCAACAGAGAUAUACCGCGGAGCGCUUUGCGCUACGUAAGGGUGGAAAGGCAGUGUAAGAGACUACCGUGCUGGUGGUAACAUCAGUAGCCAUGUAAACCCCAUCCGAAGCAAGACCGAAAAGAGGACCAUGAGCUUGCCCGGCUCGUUCUCAGGUGGGUCGCUUGAGGCUGUUGGCGACAGCAGUCCUAGAUAGAUGAUCAUUCACGACAUAACCCGGCUUAUAGUCCUGCUCACAAA